CCUUCCUGCUCGUGCCACCAGGCCCCGGGGCCGCGACGCGUCUCUCCAGCCCGGGAUCCGGGGAGCUGGGCUGUCCCCAGACCGACGGGACAGCGGCAUCUCCUCCACCUGAAAAGGAAAGAGGACCAGGUUUUGCAGGACUCCGAACUGGGCCCGCGAGAUCUCCACCUGCGCAAAACGAAAGGGCGGAUUCUCCUUGGACUCACGAGGCAACCGCUCCCCGGGGUGAGAACGGGGGACUCAUUCCUCCGGCACUGGGAGAAGACGAUUCUUUAGGAGGAGGACAGGGAAGCGAAUGCUACCCAGAACAGUGCUAGAGAAGCCGUGAGCCAGCUGGCAGGUGAGAACGCCCAGGUGCAGGUGGAUGGCUGCAGGUCAGGCCUACUUUUCCUACACCUGUUGCUGGGGGGCAAUCCCAUACCCACUCUCAGUCCAGAGUGCCUGUCACCACAGGGCAAGUAGGUGAAGGGCUUCUCAGAUCCUCAAAGACUCAGAGGGAUAAAAGGAGGCAGAUGGGUCCUAGAGGCAGCCCAUGGCAAGGGAGAGGUCUGCUUUUUUCUUUUUUUUUGAGACGGAGUUUCACUUUUGUUGCCCAGUCAUUUGCGGUUCCCGACCAGGACUGCUUCUCCCCUAGAUGCCCACGUGACUUGUUCCCCCUUUCCUCCUGUUCCCUGAUCAAAUACCUGCCGAUUGACAAGGCCUUUUCAGAUCAGCCCCACCUGCUCACUUGCUUUCCUGCCUGUCCACAUAUUUACCAUCAGAACAGAAUUCUGCCCAUCCGUUUAUUGUCUGUCUCCCCCAGCAACCACUAGAAUGGAAGCUGCAUGUGGGCAUGGCUUAGUUUUGUCCACUGCUGGAUCUCAGCAUCCAAAACAGUCUACCACCUGAUGUCUCAGUAUACUGGCUCGCGGCACAUCGGGCAAAUGAACCUAUCAGAUAACAACGGCAGAUCAGAUGCCUGAGCAUUCAGAAGCAACAGCUGUGGAGCCCCCGUGGGUUCAGAAGGCCUGGUUCCCGUCUCCAGAAGCCUGGCUCUCCUCCCUCCUGGGCCCACUACUUUGGCUUCUUGUUCCUACGUACAAGGAGUUGCGAAGAAGGCAACUCUUCCCCUCCCUGAAGCCAAAGGAAUGAAACAGACUAGGGCGGGAGAGGUGGCCAUCCGUCAUUAGUUGCGGCCAUCAGUAACAGCAACAGGACACGGAACCUAAGGCUGUAUCCAUCCUGGGCCCCCAGGGAAACAUCAGCGGGAGCGGUACUAAGGAAGUGCUCAUCUCUUAGAGACAAAGGCCCAUGGAGGGGAACAGUAACCAUCCCCUCCCAAUUCAGAAAAUGUUAACAUAAGCACUUCAUUUCUCAUGCAGAUAACCACAUAAGUCUAUUAAUAAGAAAGAAAGAGAAAGAAAAAAAAGAAAAAGGAAUCCAUGCCAGCAGGGUAUAGGAAUUGGUC
rnacentral:lncRNA from 1 species